rnacentral:rRNA from 1 species
UCCGUAGGCGGUGUAGCAAGUCGGAAGUGAAAUCUCUGGGCUUAACCCAGAGGCUGCUUCCGAAACUGCUAUGCUAGAGUGCGAGAGAGGCGAGUGGAAUUGCGGGUGUAGCGGUGAAAUGCGUAGAUAUCCGCAGGAACAUCCGAGGCGAAAGCGGCUCGCUGGAUCGCAACUGACGCUGAGGGACGAAAGCUAGGGGAGCAAACAGGAUUAGAUACCCUGGUAGUCCUAGCCCUAAACCAUCAGGACUUGGGGUUUGCCCUGUACGGGGCAAGUCCCGUAGCUAACGCGUUAAGUCCUGCGCCUGGGGAGUACGGUCGCAAGGCUGAA